rnacentral:rRNA from 1 species
AUUGAACGCUGGCGGCAGGCCUAACACAUGCAAGUCGAACGAGUGGCGGACGGGUGAGUAAUGUCUGGGAAACUGCCCGAUGGAGGGGGAUAACUACUGGAAACGGUAGCUAAUACCGCAUCCCAUCGGAUGUGCCCAUAUGGGAUUAGCUAGUAGGUGGGGUAACGACUCACCUAGGCGACGAUCCCUAGCUGGUCUGAGAGGAUGACCAGCAACACUGGAACUGAGACACGGUCCAGACUCCUACGGAAGGCAGCAGAGGGGAAUAGUGCACAAUGGGCGCAAGCCUGAUGCAGCCAUGCAGCGUGUAUGAAGAAGGCCUUCGGGUUGUAAAGUACUUUCAGCGAGGAGGCGUUACUCGCAGAAGAAGAACCGGCUAACUCCGUGCCAGCAGCCGCGGUAAUAC